UACGUAGGCAGCAAGCGUUGUUCGGAGUUACUGGGCGUAAAGGGUGCGUAGGCGGCUCUAUAAGUAUGGUGUGAAAUCUCCCGGCUUAACUGGGAGGGUGCGCUAUAGACUGUGGGGCUAGAGUGUGGGAGAGGAAAGUGGAAUUCCUGGUGUAGCGGUGAAAUGCGUAGAUAUCAGGAGGAACACCGGUGGUGUAAACGCUUU
rnacentral:rRNA from 1 species